rnacentral:rRNA from 1 species
GGAGUUAGCCGGUGCUUCUUCUGUGAGUGAUGUCCUUCCUGCCGGCUAUUAACCCGCAGGCCUUCUUCCUCACUGAAAGUGCUUUACAACCCGAAGGCCUUCUUCACACACGCGGCAUGGCUGGAUCAGGGUUGCCCCCAUUGUCCAAUAUUCCCCACUGCUGCCUCCCGUAGGAGUCUGGGCCGUGUCUCAGUCCCAGUGUGGCUGAUCAUCCUCUCAGACCAGCUACGGAUCGUCGCCUUGGUGAGCCGUUACCUCACCAACCAGCUAAUCCGACAUAGGCUCAUCCGAUAGCGCGAGGCCCGAAGGUCCCCCGCUUUCCCCCGUAGGGCGUAUGCGGUAUUAGCCUGGGUUUCCCCAGGUUAUCCCCCACUACCGGGCAGAUUCCUAUGCAUUACUCACCCGUCCGCCGCUCGCCACCAGGGAGCAAGCUCCCCGUGCUGCCGCUCGACUUGCAUGUGUAGCUCGCCGCCACGCGUCAUCUGAGCAUAAUACAACUACUGA